GACGAACGCUGGCGGCGUGCCUAAUACAUGCAAGUCGAACGGUCUUUUCUAUGGAAGCUUGCUUCCACUGAGAAGAUAGUGGCGAACGGGUGAGUAACACGUGGGUAACCUGCCCAUAAGAGGGGGAUAACAUCCGGAAACGGGUGCUAAUACCGCAUAGGUUUCUUGGUCGCAUGAUCGAGAAAGGAAAGACGGCCUUUGUGCUGGCGCUUAUGGAGGGAACCGCGGCGUAUUAGUUAGUUGGUGAGGUAACGGCUCACCAAGACGAUGAUACGUAGCCGACCUGAGAGGGUGAUCGGCCACAUUGGGACUGAGACACGGCCCAAACUCCUACGGGAGGCAGCAGUAGGGAAACUUCCGCAAUGGACGAAAGUCUGACGGAGCAACGCCGCGUGAGUGGAGAAGGUUUUCGGAUCGUAAAACUCUGUUGUCAGAGAAGAACAAGUCGGAGAGUAACUGCUCCGGCCUUGACGGUAUCUGACCAGAAAGCCACGGCUAACUACGUGCCAGCCGCCGCGGUAACAC
rnacentral:rRNA from 1 species